AUGUGCCACGUGCAUUUUGCCGUUGCUCUGCACCGUCCGCACCCACCUGGCGACCGAUUGCUACGUUUUGUUAGCC
rnacentral:sRNA from 1 species